rnacentral:lncRNA from 1 species
UCUAUGUCGUUGUCCAUCACUGGAGAUAAGUACAACAUUGUUCGACGAGAACCCCACCACGUACACAUUACCAUCAAUAUCUACAUCAAUAUCCCGAGGAUACCUCAGAACUCUUUCAUUUUUGAAUACCCAUUGUAUUUCACCUUGUAGUCUGUAACAUGUGACAGUGUUUGUUUCAUUGUUUGUAUGAUAUAUAUUGUCCCUAAAUAUUGCAAUGUAACAUUCACAGGGCAUCUCGUCCCGAACUAUGUCACUAAUAGACUCGUUGUACAGAUUGAUCAUUCGUAUUCCUCUGUCGUAACCGGAAUAAAUCAAUCGGUUAUCUUUCAAUGCAAUGCCAUAAAUGUAACUAUUUGAAUCCAGUGAAAUUGUUUUCUUGAUUUGUUUCUUUUCCAAGUCUAUAAUUGUAAUACAAUUCUUAUCGGAACUACCAGAUGUGACAGCCAAUGUAUUGUCCUCACUGAUGUACACUAUAUCAAACGCUUCACAAGGCAUCUUCACUUCAAAGUCGUUUAAUCCGUUCAUG